rnacentral:rRNA from 1 species
GAUGAACGCUGGCGGCGUGCCUAAUACAUGCAAGUCGAGCGAAUGGAUUAAGAGCUUGCUCUUAUGAAGUUAGUGGCGGACGGGUGAGUAACACGUGGGUAACCUGCCCAUAAGACUGGGAUAACUCCGGGAAACCGGGGCUAAUACCGGAUAACAUUUUGAACCGCAUGGUUCGAAAUUGAAAGGCGGCUUCGGCUGUCACUUAUGGAUGGGCCCGCGUCGCAUUAGCUAGGUGGUGAGGUAACGGCUCACCAAGGCAACGAUGCGUAGCCGACCUGAGAGGGUGAUCGGCCACACUGGGACUGAGACACGGCCCAGACUCCUACGGGAGGCAGCAGUAGGGAAUCUUCCGCAAUGGACGAAAGUCUGACGGAGCAACGCCGCGUGAGUGAUGAAGGCUUUCGGGUCGUAAAACUCUGUUGUUAGGGAAGAACAAGUGCUAGUUGAAUAAGCUGGCACCUUGACGGUACCUAACCAGAAAGCCACGGCUAACUACGUGCCAGCAGCCGCCGUAA